CUCACUAACUAUACCGUGUUCAGAAGUUGUUCGAUAUACAGGAUAAUUCGAUGUAAACAGGUUCGAUAUAGUCGGGUUCGACUGUAUAAGUCUAGAUGUGGGUAAUACCAAACUUUACUUUGACUUUUGGCUUCACAGCAGAGUGAAUUACUGUUGCCGACUGUUCAUUCGGACCCUGCUGGAACUGCAGAAAAUUCAGCAAGAAAGGAAUCACAAGAAAAAAAGAGAAUCUUUUCUGGCCCAGUGGCCGGGAAAACUUGACCAUGUGCAUCUUCACACAAGCACGCAUACGCCAAGUCUGCCUGUUUUUCAGACAGUGUUGGGCCACCUUUACUGUACGUGAAUUGCACUGUUACGGGCUGCGCUAAGUCCACAUUUGAUAGCUGUGGUGUGGGCGGCGUGUCAUCAUUGGAGUCUCUGUCCACCUGCACUGGUUCGAGGACCUGACGGACGAUCUCAUAGUCGUCCAACUUGGCGAAAACUGCCGAGCAACUUCGAAUUUAAGUCAGCCGCAUUCCACCUGGCUAAUAUCUGCUUUUUUCGCAGUCGUUAGUGUCUUGUAGUGGCUGCAUUUUUUCAUUAGUCCUGACGACGCAGGUGGGAACGGGUGGCGUCUGAGCAGUUUCAGCAGAUCAGACUUCGCACGCCAAGCAACAAAUAAGAGCUAGAUACAAAGCACGAGACGCAGAUCAGGCAUAGUCACAGAAACAACUACAAUGCUACAACAAUAGCCACAGAAACAACUACAAUGCUACAACAACGUGAAUGCAAAGCCUCAAACGCCACGCCAAGCUUGUCUCUGAGCGUGGCUUGGCUUUGCCUGCAGUUUGGCAGUGGUAGACAUUCAAUGGAUACUUGACUGGCUAAAGCCAAAAUGCAAUGCUUUAUGAUCUGUAAUUGUAAUUUUAUGCAUGGAUUUUGGCACUGCCAUGACCAGUGCAACCUUUCAAUGGGACGAGUGGUGGGCCCGCGAAAGUGCCCGAAUAAACGGUCGGCGACUGUAUUCCUACAUGGUGGUUUCACAGCAGCGUGUUAUGCACUACUGUGAAAAUACCUUUUCAAACAAGUUACAUAUGGUAAAAUGGAUGAAUUCAAAUGUUGAGGCGAAGCGAAUGUAGACUAUCAGAGGAUUGAAUAUUCACCCAAGCCUAGUAGACAAGAACAUAUAGUGAAAAUUCACCAAAAUAAGACAGCCUUCUUCUUGGAGGCUGGAAGUUUAAUUUAUUAAAGAUUGGAUUCCUAAAUCUGGCAUUUUUAAAAUUCCUAUAUCAUUGUUACGUCAAUUUAUAGCUCUCCUCUGGAGUGAAUCGGCGCCAGCAUUUAACCUCCAUGGUGUGAAUAUGCCAUUACGUACGUUAUUGUGUUCAUUUUGGUCUCAUUUGAAAGAGCAGCUCUUCAUAAGUUUAUUGGCAGUCAAGAGUGAUUCAUUCAUACAUACCAGUACUCACUUGCAACAAACAUGCUAUCCGAUUGGCCAAGCAGUCUCCUGUUGCUGCUUCACGGUGUCUGUGAGCAAGCCAUUUUAUUGAGAUUUAGUCACCAGAGUGCAGUUACGGUCCAACUGUCAAGUUUUGGAUUACACCUAAAUAAGGAGUUUGGGUGAGGUUGUCACUGGCCAGGAUACCAGGCUUGCCUAGCACACUGCGUAAGUAUCGGUCCGUUGCAAACAGCUUUGCCAGUGGCACCUGUGUCUGCCUCUACACGCAUAUCUUGAAACACGUCGGCUAGAACAGAAGCGCAAGUACACCAGGUGCUUGCACCUGCUGCAGUACAAAAGAAACAAAGCAUUGUUGCUGAAUGCAUUGAUGCUGUGUAGCUUCCACUCCCUGAACAUUUGCCAUUGUGACUUGGGGGGCCAGCGAGUGCCUUGUUUGUACUUGCCAAGUGCAGUGUUUACAAUGAAAUCAAAAUGGGCAAAGGUGAUCUAGAUUACAGCCUUGCCAUGAAGCUGCUGCUUGUGCAUGCAAGCACCAGCAAGACAUCAGUGGGCUUCCCAUAAAAGCAUCGAGAUCUGAUCAUGCCAUUUACCAGGAGUCUGCUCACCUCACGUGCUUCUUGUCAUCUCCCAACUGUCACAGUUUUCAUCUCAAUUUCCUUUGUAAUGUGUCAACAAUUUGUCGCAUUUAAUGCAAUAUUGUGGGUGAUCUUAAUGUCAUUCUAGACAACAUCCUCUAUUUCUGUUAAAGUGCACAACGUUGCACAGUGUCGAAAUGAAAGUACGGAAUCCUGCGUCUAUGGUGGAUGUAAGCGUAGUCGCGAGCGACGCGAUCGUAGGUAACGUGACAUGGCCUAUGCAGAGUUACGACGAAACUACAGCUUGUCGGAGCUGCUGCUGAUGAAAUCUAGCUCAAGACAAAUUGCAGCUAGUGACCAUGUAGUUCUGAAGGCAUGCAAUCAUCGCAGUGAUAGUCAUGAAAUGUUCUGGCUUAUUUGUUGCCGUACAGUUAACAACAGUGAAUGUGGCAAUGUGAGCUGUGCUGCUCAACCUUGCUUGGAUGCUAGUGCCGUUUUCUCGUUUCUUCGCACUCGGCACGCUCUGCAGAUUGACCUACUACUUAACCAGCUUGCGGGCAAAUGGAUCCAAAUUAACAAGAGUUUGAUCUCAUUACAUAAUGCGUAUGGUUUCCUGGACCAGACGUAGAGUUCAGGUUAUCCUAUUUUGCAAAUUGGUGAGCUUUAGUGUGCUCGUAGAAGUUGCAGCAUCAGCAAACGUACUUGGAAUGCAAGGACCAUAGCAGAAUAAAACACAGCAGUGCAUCUGGCUUGUUGCCCAUACUGCAAUGCGGAAGGAAAACUUACCAGCGCUGCUUAUGUGCACUCAGGUUAAGAGCUCCUUUCUCUUUCACAGUGUGAUGGACUUGCACAAAGCUUGAAUAAUGCAGUUGUUGCAUGGCACACCUUUGGUUGUGAUCGAAGCCAAUCCAGAUUGAAUUUCUUGGUCGCAGUUGGCUCCUUGUCGCAGUUCAUGCUAAUGCAGACUGCCCGAGAAAUUCAAUCUGGAUCGGCCUCUGUCAUGACUAAAAGUCCUCAAAGUGACAGCACCAAGUAGUACCAUUUGCACCAGGCAUCUACUUGCAGCAGCUGACCUCUUUAUCACUGGAAUAGAGACAAAGAUGAGUCACUAUGGUAGGAGUGUUAGGGCAUCCAGUUUUUUACUUUUCUGCUGUUUGGAACAGUUGGGAGGCUUUUGUCUGCUUACUGUAUUGCUUUGCAGUCUACUUUGUUAAAAUGAGGGUUUGCUAUAGUUUGAAUUAAAGCUCCUUGCAAUUUUGUUGUGCAAAACUAUGCAUUAGGGUUGCAGUUUUUGGUCGUCAUCGAAUUGUGCAAUGCUAGGGAUGUUAUUGCGCAGUUUCAUGAAGAUUCCAUAUUAAAAGUUCCACUGCAACCGAUGCGUUCUACACAAUGUACUCUCAUGGACAAAAGUGGCCAGUAAAAGAGACUUGCAAAAAUCUUAAUAAAAUGUUUCAACAUGUAUUAGGUUUUGCAAACUAUUCAUAGCAUUAGAAGGGUCAUCCGCAAACAGCAGAAAAUAGCAUUUGCAUUGUCCCCAGCAGUAGACAGGUAAUACAGUCAACUGCCGAUUUUUCCGACGCCCGAUUUUCCGGACAUGCUCGAAAAUUUGGACUCUUUCGCAGCACCGUCACCAGCCCCAUAGACGUCAAUGUAUUAGAACGUCUGAAAUUUCGGACGCUGAAACUCUUCCGCGUCCGAUUUUUCCGACUUUAUGCAUAAAUUGCAGGUCUGAAAGCAAUUAUUUGAAGCCCCCACCUCUGCCGCGUCUUAUCUCGUAGGUUCAAACCAGCGUUUUCGCGAGUCGAUCUGUUCGCGACAGUAGCAGAGUCCAAAAGUCAGCUUUGCCACAAUGCCAAAGCAUUAUGGGGUGAAGCAGACCAGAAAUUCAAUGGGGCCGCUAUCACGGCGCCGUGUGGCGAUGUCUUUACGGAUAAGCAACGGAAAUGCGCGGAGGCGUGAUGGCGGCGACUGGCAAACUCGCCAGUACAGCUUAAUCGCUGACAACCAUUACGAUAAGCAUCUUCAGUUAACUGCUCGGUAGUGCAUGUGGCCUAGCGCAGUUGCGUGCGUGCUGCACACAUUUAACAGGCGAGAAUCGAAACCCGCUGCACCGCCAUUCCUGCUGCCUCUUUGUGCGAGACCGCCAAGUGCGCCGCACAGACUCGUUGCCUUCAUGGACGAAACCAGCUCGCCAAUGCCGCGUCCGUGUGCGGUCAGGAACAACGUGAGCAUCAUGAACCCUUUCAUGAUAAAUGCGUGCGCACGAUACAGCAACAGUACAGUGGCUGCAUCAGCUUAGUUGGCAAUGUGCUGCAUAGAACUAGAAAUGCUGCGUAUCGGCGGAGAUUCGGCGAUGUGUGUGCGCGUCAUUUACAUGUGCACACACAUCGGGGAAAGCCAGACGAGUUGUCUGCUCUUCCGCCAGUCUUAGUGUUCCGCGUCAUUGUUUCCAAACGCUCCAUGCGAGAGAGCCGUAACCUAUUCCGCGCUUUGCUGAUAUCAGCGGCGCUCAUCACGAGAUGCAAAAUUGGCGGUUGGCACGUACCGUAUUUACUCGAAUCUAACGCGCACCUUUUUUCCGGAAAAACGAGUCCAAAAAUCGCAUGCGCGUUAGAAUCGAGUACCGAAAAAAAAAAGAAACUCGGUUAUCGUAUUGCCAUCGACAUUUCAAAAUGGCCGCCUCCUACGCGUCUUGGCCAUUUCUGCCAUUUGUUCAGUUCGUACGUGUGCUGAGGAGAUUGUCAUCCCGUUCUGCGUUCGCAUCGACGGCAUGGAAGUGCCGACUCCAAAUACUCGACGAGUGUACCACAAUGCCGCAUUUAAAAGAAUAGUUAUUACAUGUGCAGAGAGACGGACGGAAAUCGGGCCGCAUCGCGGUCGCUCGGAUAUAGUUCGGAGUUCCCGAAACGUGCGUGCGAGACUGGCGCGAACAGAAGCAGAUUUUUUACAACAAAGCUUCACGAAAAGGUUUCAGUGGACCAAAGCAGGGCCGGUUUCCCGAAAUCGAAGAGUGUUGACAGCGACAAGGAGUUGUCCGACAGCGACGAGGACUGAUCCAUUACGCGACUCGUAUCGCCGCCGUAGUGGUGACAGUUUUAGCGGCAAGGCCCGCUUUUUGACUUUGUGUUUUACUUUUUUGAAACUUCAGUUCUUUAAUCCGAAAUACUUGUUCUUCUGAAUGUGCGAAGUUUGACUCCUACGGACUUUUUUUCUCUCACGAAAAAUGGGUGCGCGUUACAAUCGAUGUAUUACUUUUUUUUUUUUUUUUUGGUCGCGGAAAACGGGUGCGCGUUACAAUCGAGGGCGCGGUAGAAUCGAGUAAAUACGGUAUACGUACAUAGUUAAGCGGGGUUCACGGCAGGUACCGAAUGUAUUUGUGAGAGCCUGAGCGCGCACCAAAAUGUCUGAUAAUUAUACUGGGAUGCAUUAAAGCUAUUUCGGAUGUGGCUGUGGUGAUUUGACCUCUUGAGCGGAAUAAAGCGUGAAUUCGUUUUUCCGGACGAUUUUGCGGUCCCUAGGGAGUCCGAAAAAUCGGACGUUGACUGUAUAGUCGAAUCCUGCUAUAACGAACUCGGCUACAACGAAAUUUCUGCCACAACAAAUAAUUAUCAUUUCCCUGUCAGCCGCCUAUAUAAAACAAUCACCAUGAAUAGUUUUCCCGAGUACUUCCGCUUCAAUUAAGUUUUCGCAAGUGCUACCACAUAAGGAAAAGGAGCUUGCCUAGGAUUGCCAUGAAACUCCACUAGCAACUCGACCAUUUCUCGUUGGCUCGUGACUGAUCAUCAAUCCACCAUGAUGCAGCCGGCGUGUUUGAUGCGCGUGCGGGCCGUGGUAAAAUUGCUCUCCCAUCAGUUUUCGACAUCAAGAACUUCCUUCAUGUUUUUUACGUAGUGCUCAAGACAUAACCACUACUUGUCGUCACUCUCCCUGCGAUCAUGAUUGAAAACCACUGCGUUAUGAAGGCACGCGCGGCCGGCGACCACUGCGAACACAGAUAUGGUCGUGUCGAUGCAGUUGUGGCCGGACACUGAAAGUACGCGCGCAUCCAACGUGCACAAACUCAAAGCAGUGCUGCUGACAAAACCGCUGUAGACACGAUCACAAAUAGCAACGACUCAGUUCUGAAGGCACGUGCACGGCCAGUACAGAUUGUAAACGGAAGUACCGUUUGCCGCAACCACUGCGCAGGAAACAGUUGUCGCUAUCAUCACAAUUCGAUAGCAAAUAAGCUCCGAAGGUACGCAGCUAAUGCUGAAAGGUUAAAGGCAAUAAAGUUUUAAAGCAGCACGAAGUGUUUCGGUUUUCUUGUCGGUCGCUAUGAUAUUACUAUGGUAUUAGUGCGGAGCUUCAGCACUUAGUUUUCAGUUGACCUCUAGCAAAGCAUAGGAGUGCGUUCUUGUUGCUGUGCACACUGAAGGUAGCCUUAUUCAUGUAUUUUCUCGUGUAUAACCCGCCCCUGCAUAGAGCCGGCAACCCCCACAACAAACCGCGGGAGAAAGAAAAAACAUACUGGCAUGUUGGAGUGGCACGCCUUUCUUGCAUUACCGCAAUGGCGUGCCAUGAAGCCAACUUGCACACGGCAAUUCGCGUAUAACCUGCACCCAGUGUUUAGCUCCAAAUUUUCUGUAUACAGUUGCCAACUGUUUACUCUGACUCGGCGGGAACUGCUGAAAAGUCCAAAUAAUCGGGACUCCGAAAAAGAUUAACCAGAAAAAAGCACCUUUAUUGGGCCAGCGGCCGGAAAAAAACUUGUCAGUGCGCGUUUCUCCACAUGCACGCUUAUGCGCGACCAAGUCUGCCUGUAUUUCAGCCAAUGUUUGGCCACCCCUGUGGGUCGACAAUAGCACUGCAACGGCCUACGCUAAAUCCGCACUUGAUGGCUGUGGUGUGAGAGGCGCGUCAUCGCGGCAGUCACUGUCCACAUGUGCUGGUUCGAGUAGCGGACGGAUGAUCUCAUCGCCCAAUUCGUCAAAAACUCCCAAGCAACUUCGGAUUGAGGUCGGCCAUCUUCCACCUGGCGCAUGAUUGCUGCUUUUUUCGCCAUCGUCAGCGCCUUGUAGUUGCCGCGUUUCUUUAGUUCAGACAGUGCACAUGGAACGGUCGGUAUUGGAGCAAUUUCAGCAGAUCAGGCCUCGCACGCCAAGCAACAAGUGAGCGAGACACAAAGCUCGGGACGCAGAUCAGGCCUAGCCACAGAAACAUCUGGCAACGCAAACCCUCGAACGUCAAAAGGGAACGACAUUUGGGCUAGAUGUUGCAGCGCUUCUGUUGUCGUACUCGUACACACUGUCAUUCUCUUCAAACACCGCACUGAGCAGAUUCCAAUCUUGGCUUGGCUUGGCCUGCUGCUUGGCUGUGGUACCCUUUCAAUGGAUACUUGACUGGCUAAAGCCACCAGGCGACAGUUCGUGCAUACAACAAACAUGCCUUCGAGAUACGUAAUUUUUCUGCGUGGAUUAUGACACUGGCACGAUCUCCAGCUAUAGCCGGUGCCACAUUUCAGUGCUGGCAACCUUGCAAAAAUAUUGUAAACGUUGCUGACAGCUUGUCAUGGCGUUCAAUGUCGCACUCGAUCAGCCAGCUGUAGUCCGACAAAUCGAACGGCACACUGUGGGGCGUUCCAAUUUUCGGUCGUGAGUUUACAUUACUUCAAUGGGACGAAUGGCGGUGCCGUGAAGGUGUUCGAAUAAAUGAGCAUGUCCGAAUUUUCAGCAUCCGGAUAAACUAUCGGCGACUGUAUUUUGUGUGUGUUACACGCGAGAAAAUACGUUCACUUGGUGUGCGGCCACGGAAGUCUGAAUUAGUGAGAGUUCAAAGCAAAAGAUAAUGUGUGAGCUUGCUGUGACCAGAGGACAAGUCAUAAUCAUCAGAUCUUUCUAACUUUUGUUGUCUAUACAUGAAAUUUUGCUGCAAUGAAGUUACGCAACACGGAACUUUAGCGCGCGUGUCCAGUCAAUUUCGUUGUAGCAGGCUCUAAAUUCCCUUUUUUUUAUGGUCUCGACGAUGUGCAAAGGUUUUAAGUAAGGUUCAUAUGAGCAUCGUUUUUAUUUGGUAUAAUGAAUUUAUCAAAGCGUUAUGCAACCCCUUUGGAGUUCUAUGCAUUCGGGCAUGACACUAUACCCUUUCUGAAAAUGAACCAGAUAAAACCGGAAAUCUGUUAACAAAUGCUGCACAUCUUUCUUUUAGAGCGCCCUCACAGCCAACAAAUUGUGUACUUUUAAAUUAUAAAGUGUAAGAGGAGUGGUGUUGGCUAGGAUUGUGCCAUCAAUAUUCAUUGCACUAAUGCAGUUAGUCUCACAGUGAUCACUCUCUCUUUCUAAAAAGACGUUAACUGAAUGGUCCAAUUGUUACUCUUGCGAAAAAUUUCCUCGAGUCCAAUGUGGAGUGUCGAAAAUUUUAGUUGCACAUAUGAGUUGUUGCAACAGUUGUCAAUGGCACUGUUAAGGACAGUCAUCUUGGUAGCAUUCUAGUCCGUUGCAGUGGUUUACAGGUGCUCUGCUGCUGACUCGAAGGUUGCAGGUUUGGUGCCCGUCAGAGGCCUGUGUACUGUGCGAAGUCAGUGCACGUUAAAGAACACCAGAUGGUAGAACUUUCCGGAGCCCUCCACUACAACAGGCCUCAUAAUCAUAACGUGGUUUUGGCACCUAAAAUCCCAGAUAUUAUUAUUAUUGGUAGCAUUCUAAACCUCGAAGCUUCCACUUUUUUCUCUCACCCUCUUUGCAUGUGAUAAACUGCGCAGAAAAAGGGGCACUCAUAUAUUGGAGGCUAGUGCGCACUGCCCUCCAUAUUUUGACAUAAAUAUUAAGUGUGAUCAUUAUGAGAGUAAAUGCAGUAAUUAGAAAUUGCAUAGUAUUAUUCAUGUGCCUUCCAGACCCUCGCUGGUGUAUGUAGAGUUGCUUUGAUUGUUGUCUUUUCGUUCACUUGCUGUUUGCCCCAUUUGUCGGCAUACUACUGGGAGCAACAUAUUAUAGAAGCCAGUUGUGUGGUUUUAAUUAGAACUGCUUGCUUGCCUUGCUAGCUUGUGCAAUUGCUGAUGCUGCUUGUAAACACCAUUCUUAGGCACAUGCACCCUGGAGCCAGCUGUUAGGUGUGAUGUUUAAUCAGCAUGCCUUGAUCGGUGUUGUUAGUCACUAACGGUAUUUCUGAUGCUUUCUUGGACCUGAACCGUAAGUAGCAAAUGAUUGUAACACAAUUCAUAAUUGACGUUGAAUACAACUUAACACCAAUGCUUCCAAAGCAUCUAAAGACCCGUGAACCUUCAACACAUUAGAGGCUCCACACAAGUGUGCGUUAACAAAAUAUUGAAAUGGCAUGCCUUUGCGAAGGUAUUUGUAGAAAUUGACCUACUUCUUGGUAACACUAAGACCCUACAAGUGGUUUGAAAGCACCAAAUUUAAAACUACGUGCUUAGAACAAAUGUCACGUGAUGGUGACAAUCAAUAUUUACAACCUGCACCUAACUAAAUGAUCUUGCCAGUUGCUCAACAUGUAACAAUGGCAGUGCUGGAUGGAACAUGCGAUUCACUAACAAUCUUCGUAAUCACUGAGAGUGUUCCAGCAUUUGCUUCAUUUAACAAGUUUUAUUCUCUAGUUGUUCCAUACACAGUGGUGGAUCAUGAAGCUGGAUCGCAGGUCCUAAGUGAGCAGAACCUGGCAAAACAGACUGCAAAUGGGCUGCGGAGGCUCAUAUCCUGACACUGUUGUCACUUCUUGCCGUAGAUCUGAUUAUGAAACAGCUCAACGAAAAGACACAACACUGUCGAUGAUGAAGACAAGUGCCGGAUUCUCAACUAAUCUUUGUGUGUCUUUUCGUUGUGCCGUUUCAUAAUCAUGAACCCUUAACAACUCGUCCAACUAUCAGUGCUACUGAAUGUAUAUCUUACGCAGUGCCUGUAAGCAACUGCUAAAAGAUGGCUGUGUUGCACAACUGGAAAGGAGAUUAUUGGACCUAAAUGGGUCUUGGAAGGUAGCCGUUAAUUCAUAUCAGAGGCACUAGUAUUCGUGUAUUCGUUUUGCACACUAUGAAGUGAGAAGUUACGCAUUGCGAAUUCCUAGUUUCACCACACUGAGAAACAGCUGUAAUAGUUGACUCGCUUAUACGUUGUUGCACAGAAUUGUCAGUCACAGUAAGUUGUAAUGAAGCUUUGGCUUGAAAUCUAGGAUCUGAACAAAAUGUUGCAGGCCAGAUGUGAACAAGGCGCUUAGUUGGCAUGGUUUCCUGCCACUUGUUGGAAUGCGCAAAGAAGUGUGAAGCGGCAUAACAGUCUCGGUGUCUGUCGUUGCUUGCAGGUGGUCCCCGAUCAGACUAUGCCUCCUAUGACAGCUAUGGUGGCGCAGCAUAUGGCCAAUCUCGGGAUAGCUAUGGAGGGGCAGGCCACUAUUAACAGUGCAGCAAGCUGCUGUCCUUUUUUUUUUUUUACUUUUGAGAGCAGGCAUAGAAGAGGGGCAGAGACAUUUUUUCAUAAAUGAAAGCCUCCACCUUGCCCACCACCAUCCAUCUUCAACAUAGCAUCACAGCCUUGCUUGAAGAAAUUUCUAGAUGCAGGCACAGUGCUACAUUUCUCCCUCCCAACACCACAUGUAUACCUAGUGUUUUGUAAUUUACCCUUCAUUUCUCAUUUCUCACUUUUUUUUUCUAAACAUUAGCCAGGUGGCUUGGAAGGCCACAGUGCACUGUUAGGCACAUCAUAAUUUUAUUUUUCAUCUACCCAUGGAGCCUGGCAUUGUCUUCUGAACUUGGUGUUAGCGCUCAUGUCGUGAAACAAGCACAUGCUACUGACUGUAUGUAUUCGAAGUGGUCCAGGCGGAUCAAAUGAAAUAAAAUGUGGAGUGGAACCCCCCUAGCUGCUGCCAAGUUUGAUUACUGAGGUGCUUAGUGUGCAGCACUAGCCCUUGUGGGAUAUAGUGAACUUCUCCAGCCACACUGCUGCAGAAUGAAGAAAUGUACGGGGCCGUGCGCCUUUCUGAUGCUGCUUUUCCUUUGAGAACUGCGUCUGUUACGCUGCCCUGGUAAGCUUACGGCUAAAGCUGGAAAACAUCAAACGUAUUCCAGCUGUAACAUAGCUCCAACAGUAUUAAGUCAUGCUCAGUUUGGCACUUACAUGUGCAAGUGUCUUUAAAAUUAAAGUGAAACUUUAGUCUGCACUAGGAAACUUUUCAGCAUUUUGCCUCCCCAGCACGCCCCAUUUGCAGUAAGCACUGUGGGAUUUAUUGCUUUUAUGGAAGUUUUUACACAGAGGGAUGGCACAGCGUUAGUUUGUUAGUGUGAUUAGAGCAGGGACGUUCAAGGCUUGUGGAAACAACAAAGUAGUUGCACAAAUCACUUUAGAAUUGCACUAUGUUAGACUAAUGAAGCGAUGAGAUAGGCAAGGCAGUUGCCGCAAACAGCACUGCUGUCGCGAUCGGCAGUUUGUUCGAGCACUUGCACCUUCGGUGUUCCUUAAAUGCAGAAGCAUUGAUGAAUGUUAGAGUAUUAUUUUGCUCAAAUGCGUUCAAGGGAAAGCACAUCAUGGGUCUCAAUUUGCUAGUUAAUUUCUAUAUCCUACGACAUUCUACUGAGUUUGCUGCUCUAGAAUUGUAAUUGUUGUACUAAUACUUGCAGCAUUGCCUGUUUUCAUAGGAUCAGAUAUAGUUUCAAGUGUAAGUUUCCUAUGUAGGUGCUGUGGCACUUGAGGCCAAUUAUUCAUAAUGGCAGUGUCCUUUAACUUGCUCUGCUCUGUUAUAGAGCUCAUUGAGGUUACUUUUUGAGCCUUAUUUGAUCAGAAGUCUUAUUCAAAAUGCUGCAGUGUGAUACAGAAUUUGCAUAGCGCAAAGCUCUAUAUUCUGUGAGAAUGUUCUGGUAUGUAAAAACUGAUAUACGACCUUUAACUGUAGCUAGGUUCAUGGAAGUGUGGUGAUGCCUGAAUAAGUUCGAGAAGGCAUUGCACUUAACACUGAUCCAUGUAAAUGCUUCCAGCUGCUACAGUGCAUGUUGUGCAGUAGUUUGCAAGUUGCUAAUCUUUCAGUUCCAUUAAACCUGGUUCUGUUAAGUUAAAAUUAACAUGUAAACAAUGCAAGCAUUGUGUUUGCAUUGUAUGUUUCUUGGCUGUGACUAUUGUAAGCCUUUCUGCCCUAGUUAGUGCUGCCAUUUGGCGCAUCUCAUUUGCAUCUAAUAGUAAAGCUUUUCCAGGAUUUUUAUUGUGGAUAUGCUUGCAAGGCCGUUUUCUUAAAUCCUUCACAGCCUUCGCAAGUCCGUCAUUCUAUGGAGAGGGCACAGCACCAGUGGCUCCACAGCCUUACGGCCAAGUAUUUCACACUACCAUGACAUAGUCUCAUAAAUGAAAGCACUUCAGCCAAUGCUGCUGCUGUACAGAAGGAAGCCUCAUGCACCAUUUUACUCUUCGUUUAUCAUACCUUAAAGUGUUUAUAAAAAGUUAUAAUACCACGCAUGGCUGUGUGUCUUUGUCUUAGUAAUGCUUACAUGUAUAGGUGCAGUGACAAGUUCGAGUGACACUGUCCACUGCCAAUUGCAUAUGCUUUUUGUGAUUAGAUGACCGCAGCCUUUCACCUCCAAAGAUUUUCCAACUUUUCCCUAUCAGUAGACAAGAGAACAAGUACAACACUUACGUGGUAUUAUCACUAUUGCAGCUAAGCUGCAAAUAUAUUGAAGGUUCUAGCAGUUGUUGCAACAAAUGUUGCAGAUGACGCAGAGCUGAAUGCCAACCAUCAUAAGCUAGCACUUAUCAGUCUUUGUUUUCUAUUGUCUGGAGUUAAUUUAAAUUUAAAAAAAAAUCAUGUGCAACCCAGACUGCCUAAGUGUCUUGUGGUUCAAUAGGUCAUCGUAGGCACAUAAUUGUGUUUGCUACUGGACUUAAGCUCCCUGAACCAUAGUGCAAACCUUUGUGGAAGCAAACAUGCCAUGCUGUUAUCAAAACUGGCCUGCUUCUAUAUCCCGUUGUAUGCUGGUGCUGAAGUGCAGCGAAGCAUUGCACGUGAACUCUAGACCACAAAGCUCGGUUCCGCGAUGCUGAAAUCAAUUGCGUCCACGGAUGAUAGUACCACAGGUGGGUUAACAAAAGUUUCAUUACAUUGCCUAUGUCUUUUGUGCUGUCGAACAGCCAGAUUACGCCAAGGAGGGGAAAAGGCUCACGUGAAACCUCUGAUAUCAAUAUAGGGCGCAGUGCCCACAUGCUUGCAUUCAGGCACACUAUAAAGAACCCCAGGUUGUCCUAAGCUCAGUCCUCCACUACGGCAUGCCUCAUAAUCUUGGUUCUAGCACGUAAAGCCAUAGAAUUUUAAUGUAAAUAUGAUAAAGAGCUCGCAUGAAGCUUGAACCUAAUCAGUAGCCUCCGUUAGUGCUGGAUACUUCCACAGCGUAUGGCAUUAAGUAAUGGCAUUUCUAGCACUUUGCUAGUCGCACAUUUCUCAAGUACACAUUUCACAACUUGCACGUUCAAUUCCAAGCUCCAGGCUUCGUGCCUGGCAGCUUAUCAUAACAAUAUUUGCUCUUGCCAGUGUGCAGGGCUUGUAAAGUUUAGUUAACUUGAAUAGAGACCUCGCUUUCUUAAUUAUCAGAAAUGGCUCGUUUAAAAGAUGGUAACGGAAAUGAUAAUUUCUUGUUUUGCAACUCUUAACUGCCUCCUUUGUUUUUUCAGGUUGAAGCACUUUUCCUGUGAAGGAGUGAGCAUUCAACUUUCUUUGAGGAUGGGCAUCAUUGCUGGACAGCCAGUGGGAACAGGGUGCUUCUGGUACUACCUAAAACUGGUUGCAGCCCAACAACCAUGUUGGUGUUCAAGGCCCCCAAGACUGGCGAUGGACGCAUGUCCCUUGUAACACCUGUAGACCGGCGAUAAAAAUAAAGAAUAUGUCAAGAUGUA